UACGUAGGGGGCGAGCGUUGUCCGGAUUCAUUGGGCGUAAAGAGCUCGUAGGCGGCUUGGCAAGUCGGGUGUGAAAACUCCAGGCUCAACCUGGAGACGCCACCCGAUACUGCCAUGGCUUGAGUCCGGUAGGGGACCACGGAAUUCCUGGUGUAGCGGUGAAAUGCGCAGAUAUCAGGAGGAACACCGGUGGCGAAGGCGGGUCUCUGGGCCGAUAUUGACGCUAAGGAGCGAAAGCGUGGGGAGCGAACAGG
rnacentral:rRNA from 1 species